UACAGAGGGGGCAAGCGUUAUUCGGAAUUAUUGGGCGUAAAGGGCGCGUAGGCGGCUUUUCAAGUGACGGGUGAAAUCCCUCGGCUUAACCGAGGAACUGCCUGUCAGACUGGAAGGCUUGAGACCGGGAGAGGUGAGUGGAAUUCCCAGUGUAGCGGUGAAAUGCGUAGAUAUUGGGAGGAACACCAGUGGCGAAGGCGGCUCACUGGACCGGAACUGACGCUGAGGCGCGAGAGCGUGGGGAGCAAACCGG
rnacentral:rRNA from 1 species